CGGUCUAAGUUCCUUGGAACAGGACGUCAUAGAGGGUGAGAAUCCCGUAUGUGACUGGANGCUUUCGCCCGUGUAAAGCUCUUUCGACGAGUCGAGUUGUUUGGGAAUGCAGCUCAAAAUGGGUGGUAAAUUUCAUCUAAAGCUAAAUAUUGNCCAGAGACCGAUAGCGCACGAGUAGAGUGAUCGAAAGAUGAAAAGCACUUUGGAAAGAGAGUUAAACAGUACGUGAAAUUGUUGAAAGGGAAGCGCUUGCAACCAGACUCGCAUGCCGUCGAUCCUCCUGGGUUCUCCCUGGUGCACUCGGCGGUAUUCGGGCCAGCAUCGGUUUGGGUGGUGGGAUAAAGGCCUUUGGGAAUGUAGCUCCUCUUUCGGGGAGUGUUAUAGCCCUCGGUGCAAUGCUGCCUACCUGGACCGAGGACCGCGCUUCGGCUAGGAUGCUGGCGUAAUGGUUGUAAGCGACC
rnacentral:rRNA from 1 species